rnacentral:rRNA from 1 species
AUGAACGUUAGCGGCGCGCCUGAUGCAUGCAAGUCGAACGAUCUGUUGAUCCGCAAGGAAUGACAGGUAGUGGCAAACGGCUGAGUAACGCGUAAGUUACCUAUCUCUAAGUGGGGAAUAACCUGCCGAAAGGCAAGCUAAUACCUCAUAUGCUGGUUUACGAUAGUUUAUCAGUAAAGCCUUCGGGCGCUUGGAGCAGGGCUUGCGUCUGAUUAGCUAGUUGGUAGGGUAAUGGCCUACCAAGGCGAUGAUCAGUAGCUGGUCUGAGAGGACGACCAGCCAGACAGGGACUGAGGUACGGCCCUGACUCCUACUGGAGGCAGCAGCAAGGAAUUUUGCGCAAUGGGCGAAAGCCUGACGCAGCGACGCCGCGUGGGGGACGAAGACCUUCGGGUUGUAAACCCCUUUUCCUGGGGAAGAAUUAUGACGGUACUCAGGGAAUAAGUCUUGGCUAACUACGU